rnacentral:lncRNA from 1 species
GUAAAUAAGUGCAAAUUGGUACGGAUUUGCAUAAAAAUGUAAAUUGUAUAUGCAUUUGUUGUCUAUUAUGUAAACAUAUUGCAAAUUUUUAUCAUUGUUGCUGGUUAAGAUGGUUUUUGAAUUGGUGCUAGUAUGAUACCUCAUGAAAUGUUAAUUUUUAAAAUUUCUGUUCCAUACAAAGUUGCCAAAUACUCAUAAAAAUACAUUUUAAAUGUUGCAGAGAACUAUGUUGUAGCAGAUUAUGUUAUCUGAAGCCUUUUUGCUCAGUUAGUGAAGUUGUUUUUUAAUUAUACAAAUUAAGAACGCUUAGUAGUAUGUAACAACUUUAAUGAUGUUUCAUUACAAGUCUUAACAUCUGGAUUCAGAAAGAAUUAUAAUUGAAUGAGGUUUGUCUUCUGUUAAGUUUUGCAUCAUAAAUUUGAAGCCAAUUGUCACAAUAUAAUGUGCAAUUAGUUACCGGAUCUAUUAAGUAAGAUUAAUGAUAAUUUACAUUUCAUUUUUAAAUAAUUUAUACUUUUGAUUAUUGUUAAUUAAUUUACUUGCAUAAUCAAAUUUUAAAAGGAUUUCUUGUUUUUAGAUAAGUAGAAAACGUUUGUUUAAAUGACUGGAAUUCGAACCUAGGAAACAGAUGUGCGAAAGAUAUGUUAUGUAGUAGCUGUUUUUUUUUCUUCUAUAAUAUUAACUAUUUUUAUUUUGAAAUGUUUUAAACAUAUUUUCAACCAUUGUUAAGCUUUUACAUGACAUAUUAUAUAACUGACAUACACAGUAUGCAUUUUUA